rnacentral:rRNA from 1 species
UGGCGAACGGGUGAGUAACGCGUGAGUAACCUGCCCUGGAGUGGGGGACAACAGUUGGAAACGACUGCUAAUACCGCAUAAGCCCACGAUCCGGCAUCGGAUUGAGGGAAAAGGAGUUUAAUUCGCUUCAGGAUGGACUCGCGUCCAAUUAGCUGGUUGGUGAGGUAACGGCCCACCAAGGCGACGAUUGGUAGCCGGACUGAGAGGUUGAACGGCCACAUUGGGACUGAGACACGGCCCAG